AUUGAACGCUGGCGGCCGGCCUAACACAUGCAAGUAGAGCGGAGCGGCGGACGGGUGCGUAAUGCCUAGGAAUCUGCCUGGUAGUGGGGGAUAACGUCCGGAAACGGGCGCUAAUACCGCAUACUAUCAGAUGAGCCUAGGUCGGAUUAGCUAGUUGGUUGGGUAAAGGCCUACCACGGCGACGAUCCGUAACUGGUCUGAGAGGAUGAUCAGUCACACGGGAACUGAGACACGGUCCAGACUCCUACGGCAGGCAGCAGUGGGUAAUAUUGGACAAUGGGCGAAAGCCUGAUCCAGCCAUGCCGCGUGUGUGAAGAAGGUCUUCGGAUUUUAAAGCACUUUAAGUUGGGAGGCGUUACCAACAGAUUAAGCACCGGCUAACUUCGUGCCAGCCGCAGCGGUAAUAC
rnacentral:rRNA from 1 species